GAAGAUAAUAGGGGGAUUGUUAGAGUUAGGUUUCAUGAUAGGAAGACGACUUAAGCUCGAUCACUUCGCUCGCAUAUCGGCUGGAGGAUAGCAGUUAUCGCGUUCAGGACAAAUUUAUUAGUUGAGUUUCUUUAGUUGAGUUAUAUUGAAUUGUGCUUUAGUUCAAAUUUUAUAAAGGUAAUUUAGGAAAAAGUGAAAAAUUGUGCAGUGUUCCUAAACGGUGAUUUUUUUGAUUUUUUUUGUGUUUUUAUAGCUUGAGACGUAGUCUCUGCUUUUCUUACGCGAACGCUAUCAGUGAUUUCGCAGUUUAUCGUACAAAAAAGCGCAUGGGCGCUUUUUUGGUACGGGCUGGAGUUUAAAGAUUUCGACAAGCGGAGUCGUUUUCGGGGUUAUCGUGAAGCCGUCCAAGCCACCGUCUUCAAGUGAAAGAGCUCGUGCAUCCGCUAAGGCCCGCCUCACGAAGGCAGUUAAACGGGGGAAGUGUAGAUCGCCUGCAAGUCGAGCGAUAAUCUCCAACGGUCGCCAAUCAACCGUUGUGUACGAUCCACCCACCGUUACAACCUCUGUGGAUCGGGAGUUAAGGAGAGCUCGGAUUGGGUUCACGUCGCCAAAAGCGUGUCCCUUUCCGUACAGUCCAAAGGUCGGCGCUAUUCCUCGCUCGGUCAUAACGGAAAGGUACGUGAAGCCGGGUCGUUAGGUCUAGUGUCGGUCCGGAAGACAGUCUCGGGAACCCCGCGACCAAUUGUCGACGGGAAGCUCUCCUCUGAAGAAAAUCGGAAGGCCUCCGUCCAGCCGCCACUUCCCACCGCAGCUUUAGAUCGGCCAUAUUAGCACGAGCUCAGGUUCGCUUCUCGCCGCCAUCGUGCGAGGAUCGCUGCUGGCAGAUCGCUAGCAAGGCUUCGUCUUCAACCAACAUUUUGCCGGCACCCCGCCGGAAAGCCAACGUAGCCAUCACCGUAGCAUCCGUCACUUCGAGUCAACGACAUCGAAAAUCCUGCGCAGGUAUGUGGUAGUUCUAGUUCAUGGCCAUGAAUAGUUGUUUCCUUUCCCGCUACCAGAAAAAGUUCCGUCCAACCCGAAUGUAUUAAUUCAAUAAAACUGAUUAUUAAGUUGAA